GGUCUGUGAUGAGAAAUAGCCAAAUCUGAGCACCAGGAGAUAAAUAAUCUUCCAGGUGUUGUGAUUUGUAGGUAGUUCUGAGA
rnacentral:snoRNA from 1 species